GGCCCAAGCAAGCCAGGAAGGAGGAGGCAGCCAGAGUGUUCUCUGCAGCAGAAGACCCCUUGCUGCCCUGCUUAACCCAGACCAGCAUUUGCCAGGAAAUCAGUGGCCAGCCUCCAGACUAACGCUGCACUAAGACAACAAACAAAGAUGCACCCAAGCAAGAAGUUCUAAUAAGGACAACUAAGAAAAAGAUGAAAGCAACAGACUCAACUGAGACUUCACUUCGCGGGAUACAAUGAAGUGUGUUUCUUUCCCCAAGGAACAGAGAAUUUCCUCACCCUCCUACAAAUAAACCCCA